rnacentral:rRNA from 1 species
UGGGGAAUUUUGCGCAAUGGGGGAAGCCCUGACGCAGCAACGCCGCGUGGGUGAUGAAGGCCUUCGGGUCGUAAAGCCCUGUCGGGCGGGAAGAACGUCCCUUUAAGGGAGUGACGGUACCGCCAGAGGAAGCACCGGCUAACUCCGUGCCAGCAGCCGCGGUAAUACGGAGGGUGCGAGCGUUAUUCGGAAUUACUGGGCGUAAAGGGCGUGCAGGCGGGAGAGCAAGUCUGAUGUGAAAGCCCGGGGCUUAACCCCGGAAGGGCAUUGGAAACUGCUUUUCUUGAGUUCUGGAGAGGAAGGGAGAAUUCCCGGUGUAGAGGUGAAAUUCGUAGAGAUCGGGAGGAACAUCAGUGGCGAAGGCGCCCUUCUGGACUGUAACUGACACUGAGGUACGAAAGCGUGGGGAGCAAACA